rnacentral:rRNA from 1 species
GUGAAGAAGCCCCACCGCUUCCGCCCGGGGACCGUCGCGCUCCGGGAGAUCCGCAAGUACCAGAAGAGCACGGAGCUGCUCAUCCGCAAGCUCCCCUUCCAGCGCCUCGUCCGCGAGAUCGCGCAGGACUUCAAGACCGACCUGAGGUUCCAGAGCUCCGCCGUCUCCGCCCUGCAGGAGGCCGCCGAGGCGUACCUGGUCGGGCUGUUCGAGGACACCAACCUGUGCGCCAUCCACGCCAAGCGCGUCACCAUCAUGCCCAAGGACAUCCAGCUCGCCCGCCGCAUCCGCGGGGAGCGCGCCUAG